AAAUAUGAAGCAAUUUUGCAUUUAAUUUCGACUUAAAAGAAGGGUUUAAUUACCCCAUAUUUU
rnacentral:tRNA from 1 species